AAUGAACACACCCUCAUCUUCAGAGAAAGAACACUCCUUUUUAUUCCACGGAAACCAUAAUUCCCAAGCCAGUGAGAUUAUCUGUGGUCUUUUCUCUUUAUCCCCUCCUUUUGCCCUUUAGGGGAGAGAAGAGUGUGGAGGGAGGAAUCGGGGAAGCCCAGUGCCGUACUGAUGCUCUGGACUUUGUUUUUGGAGGUAGCCUGUGAUGCAGGGCAGAAAAGAGCUGAUGCCUUGGAGAGAGACUGGGAGAGGCUGGAGUUAAUAGAGGUGCCCACGCACCCAAAGGGCCAGCUCCUGCAUUUUUUCACUUCACCGAUGCCAAAGCCACUUUGCCCACCUUUGCAGCAGACGCAGGGAAUUAACUAUCUCAAGAAGUGGCCCUUAGUUAUUAACUGAUGGCAGCUGGUCCCAGGGUAUCCAAGAAGCUGUCAUCCAGGUCUUCUCCAAUGAAGCUACAACAACCCACAGAGCCAGCAGGGGAACCUACACCUUCGAUGUCAUAUAUGAGCAAACAGUCAUUAGAUGGGCGUCCUUCAUCUUCAUCUGCAUGGAGUGAAUAUGAUGAUUCUGUGAAGGUUUAUUGCAACAUGACUUUUUCAGCACAGCAACAGGAAAAUUUGACUCUGGGUCUGUUCUACAAAAUUAAAGUCGUGGGAUGCUCGUGAAUUAAGAAACAACCAAAAAUGCCAAAUAUUGAGACUCUUGAAAUCAAAUUAAGUAUGAUCUGAGAUUAAGAACUUCUGAGAAGAAUUUAAGCAUGAACAUAUAUAUUGACAUGAAGUCCACUUACAAUGAAGAAAGGAGUGACCUCUCGAUCAACUAUGGAUGUUAUAUUAAUUUCACCAGUUUUCUGAUUAAUGACAAAGAUCCCAUAUGGUGGCUGAUCAAUUCCUACUCCAGAGAUGCGGGUCUGUGCUUGCACUGGAGCUACAGAAGGAAACUCUUUGCCCUCUUAAGGAGUUUAUCAAUGUUGUCAUCAUGCAACUUUAAUCUUCAAUUUGUUUUAAAUGUAAAGUUUUCGAAGAAAGUAGAUUUAUUUAGGUGACAAGAGUUAUCUGGGUUUGAGUGGAAGCUCUGAAUUCUGAAAAUGGGAAGGGUGUAUUAGCAGAAAAGGAAGGAGACCACGCGAAUAAAUGGUUAUAGAAACCAGAACUCUUUCUUUGAAAUAAAAUAUUGUUUGGCUGUAAACAAAUCCUAGUGGGGAGUAUUUGUGAGUGUCUGUGUGGAUGAAUGUGUAUAUUCGUGUGUGUAUCUGUGGACGUGUACAUCUGUAUGUUCAUGAAUUUGUGGGGGGUGUUUCUGAGUGUGUGUGUAUGUAGAAAGGAAGAUAUGGAAAAAUGAAUAGAAAAGGGGUAUGAGAGAGGGCACCUUGUGAAUGUUAAUAAACAAACAAAAAAGUAGGAAUUCAAUUCUAAUACAUUGUGAGGCAAAAAGAGCACACAUUGAAG
rnacentral:lncRNA from 1 species